UUUCCUUUGUAGGCGACGAGAACCCGUGUCUGGUGUGUAAUAAUCGCUGUUUCUCUCUCUCACCUACAAACAG
ensembl:miRNA Mir6896 microRNA 6896